GCAUAACGCGAAGAACCUUACCUAGGCUUGACAUGCAUCUCUAAGCGCGUGAAAGCGCGUGACCCUUCGGGGAGUUGUCACAGGUGCUGCAUGGCCGUCGUCAGCUCGUGUCGUGAGAUGUUGGGUUAAGUCCGCAACGAGCGCAACCUUCGUGAACAGUUGCCAGCACUUAAGGUGGGAACUCUGUUCAGACUGCCCACGAUCAACUGGGAGGAAGGUGGGGACGACGUCAGGUCAGUAUGGCCCUUACGCCUAGGGCUGCACACGUACUACAAUGCCCAGCACAAUGAGAACCGAGACCGCGAGGUGGAGGAAAUCUAAAAACUAGGGCCCAGUUCGGAUUGGAGGCUGCAACUCGCCUCCAUGAAGUUGGAAUCGCUAGUAAUGGCGCAUCAGCUACGGCGCCGUGAAUACGUUCCCGGGUC
rnacentral:rRNA from 1 species